GGGCUGGAGUAGCAAUACUUCAGUUAGUGGCGCACGGGUGCGUAACGCGUAUGCAACCUACCUUUUAUUGGGGGAUAGCCCGAAGAAAUUCGGAUUAAUACCGCAUAAUAUCAUUUGAGGGCAUCUGAGGAUGAUUAAAGCUACGGCGAUAAAAGAUGGGCAUGCGUGACAUUAGCUAGUUGGUGGAGGUAACGGCUCACCAAGGCGACGAUGUCUAGGGGUUCUGAGAGGAUGAUCCCCCACACUGGUACUGAGAUACGGACCAGACUCCUACGGGAGGCAGCAGUAGGGAAUAUUGGGCAAUGGAGGCAACUCUGACCCAGCCAUGCCGCGUGCAGGAUGAAGGCCUUCUGGGUUGUAAACUGCUUUUAUCUAGGAAGAAAAUACUCUUGCGAGAGGAACUGACGGUACUAGAUGAAUAAGCACCGGCUAACUCCGUGCCAGCAGCCGCGGUAAUACGGAGGGUGCAAGCGUUGUCCGGAUUUAUUGGGUUUAAAGGGUGCGUAGGCGGCUUAGUAAGUCCGUGGUGAAAGCCAACAGCUCAACUGUUGAACUGCCAUGGAUACUGCUAGGCUUGAGUACAGACGAGGUAGGCGGAAUGGAUAGUGUAGCGGUGAAAUGCAUAGAUACUAUCCAGAACACCGAUUGCGAAGGCAGCUUACUAGGCUGUAACUGACGCUGAGGCACGAAAGCGUGNGGAGCGAACAGGAUUAGAUACCCUGGUAGUCCACGCCGUAAACGAUGAUAACUCGAUGUUGGCGAUACACAGUCAGCGUCUUAGCG
rnacentral:rRNA from 1 species